ACGAGAACAAAUUAUAUAUUUCCAUUACAUUCACAUCUUGGCUUACACUAGAAAAGUUGCGACUCUGGAACGCCGUGACUGAAAUUUUUCGACGAUUUAAGAUGAUUAACAUCUAAGUAAAUAUACACCCCGAAGGAAUUAGAUAUUCAGAGGUAAUUACAUAAAUAAUAAUGAUUGAAUCAUUUUGUAUUGUAACCGAUGGUCUCAAAACGACGAAGGUUCUCCAGAACAUAGCUCUUGUUUUUUGAAAUGGUGGUAAAUAUUAAAUUAUGUACCUAUUUUGACGAUUCAAAAGCGCUUCUAGUUGAAUGAAUGAAUGGAAUAUGUUUGAGUUUGUGUUUCCUUUUAUUUUUCCUUGAUGAGCAGCUCUUGCUAACGAGUAAUAAAAAUGAAGUACCUACCUGCAUAAGUAAAACCAAAUAAAUGUUUACGUAACGGCUGCCCAACUGCGGAGCUACCAAAUUUGUACUUCAGGAAUUGAAAAGCGGUUCUGUUUUAUCUUUAUGAAAGCAAUAAACUUUUUAUUGUUGAAUCUUUUAGUGGUCCCAUCUCAUUUAAACUAGCUUUAGGACCAAAACGAAAAAGUAUUAAGCACUGCGUUAAAAAUUGCAUAACAGAAUUAAAAAAAGGAAGAAGAAAGAAUCUUUGAUAUUUUAUAAUGCAAUUAAGCAAUAUUCAAUAGGAUUUCUAUAUAAUUUAUCAUAAUGAUAAACAUUUUUAGGGCUUAUAAUUAUACGUACUCUGAAAUACCAUUAUACCUACAUGUAACGCAGUUGCAUUGUUGACGAUAUAAAAGAAUAUUUUUACAUAUACAUAUUUGUUUAUAUUUUCAACACAAUAUAUUUUACCAUAUAACGCAGUAGGUAUAAAAAUUACACAAUUUAUGUGACGAAAAUUGUCAAGUAUGCGUUUUUAUUUUUUCAAUUUAUAUUUAACAUACGUGUGUUCCAUGUAAAGGUGUGAAUAAAGAACGCGAUAACAGCGCGUUCCAGCCGCGACGUUCCAACCGCCAACACUUAGUCGAAGUAACAGUUAACAAUAAUAAACUGUUAGAGGUAUAUUAUGUGAAAACAUCAACACAUCCAAAAACCAACUAGCAGUCGACAUUGUAAAGACUCGGAAAGAUUCAUCGCCAGUAACAUCGAAUAUCACAAUAAGUCAGUUGAUUGAUGUAAACUCUGUUUGCUUGUGGUUUGAAGCGCGAAUGUCGAAACCUCUGAAAAUAGAGGUCUUUGCCAUGUUAAACGAAGAUCGCAUAGGAUAAAGUAGCGCAUGCAUUCCGUAAAAUUAUUGAUUCCUUAUAGAGAAACUGGUAAGCCUUUUUCUGUUAAGCAUUAAAAAAGAACCUCAUUAUUACACACCACAAGAUUAAGAGAGCAAGAGAGAUGGAGCGCCUCGUGAUUAGCAAGGUUUAGUUUGUCAUCUGUGCUUGAACAUGUUAUGCAUUACAGUAGCUGCAUUUAAUUCGAAAGCUAGACUCUUAUUUAUCACUGCAUUAUGUCUUGAACGCGCCUCGAUGGUGUAAAUUAUUUACAAAAUGUUUAUUUAAGAAGUAAAACGCGCACUUUAACAAAUACUUUCGAAGCCAAGCAAUAACCUCCCUCGAUAGUUCUACAGGGAAUUCUAUUUUUCGGAUAUUUCUAAAUGCACGUGUUUUUAAAAACAAAUCAUCCGUAAAUGUCAAUCCAUUAUCCUGUUAACCUAACACUACGGCAAUUGUAAAUGACAAUAAAUAAAUAUUACUUAUAUCAUCUCAAUCAUAACAGCUUUAGGAUUUUCAGAAGACCUAGUGUUUGUGCCCAUCGAAUGAAAUCUACAUGUGCUGAAAGGUAAGAAGUCGACUACAUAAUAAAUAUACGUUUAAAUUAAACGCUAACACCGAAAGAUCUACACAUCAAUGCUUUAGUCCUAGGUAAAGCUCGAUAAAUAUAUUUGUCUACAUAUCGGAGCUACAUGGAGGCGUAAACCGGGGUGUCAAAACUUCUCAUUUAUCUACCUAUCUAAUCUUGAGGUUAACAUAACAAUUUGUCUGUUACAAUUCUUUAUAGCAGAAAGCAAAUACUGUAAAUUCUUGCACGGUCUAAAAUCGCAUGCAAACCUUUUGUAACGAUAGAUACUGCUAUGCCUACCUACAAACAAAUAAGCAAUGAAAUCGAAGCAAAUAAAUAUUUUUUUUACAAUUUCAGCUAACCAUACUCUGACGACACCAAAAUGCUUAUCUGCAAAUACAACCUGUUUCAACUUAACACUAAAGGAACGGAUAAAAAUUCGUGAUAGAGCAAAAAAUUAUAGUCGUACCACAUCCGAUGUUCUGGGCCCAAGUCUGUCAACCUAAAAAUGCUUCAUUGUCUCAAUUAGUUCGUGUCAGAAUGUUUUAAAAACCAAGUUGUAAAAACGGAGAAUUGUCUCAUUGAGAUUCAUUUAAAACACCAUUACUAUUCAUAUGGGACACUAUUAUGACAUGGUAAUUGGAUUCUUAUGGACUGUCAAUUGAAUCGUAAUGGCGCGCCUAUUUGCUAAAAUAGCAGACUUGGCCCCCCCUGGACAUUAAUAUCUGUCACAUGUACACUACCUAGAAUAAGCGGUGAAUUAGUAAGUGUAGAGCAGCAGUUUUCCUAAUUGAUAAUGAUCAUCAUUUGACUUUAAAUAUGAUAGGUACAUAUCAAAUUUGUACUCUGGGCUGUCAAAGUGACAUUUCACGUAUAUAGACUGUUUGUUAGUAUUCUGUGAACCUUUAAACAUCACUGUAUCAAUACGUUAUGCUUGGGCGCAGAGCGCUUAAAACUGACGAGUUAAAUAAAAUACCUUAUUAAACGAAAAAACAUAUAACGAUAGCAUAAUUGUAGGUAGUGUACAACGUUCAGCCGUUGAAAGCAAUAUGAAUUCCUGAGUAUUUUAGACACAAAGUUUAUCCCCUCCGCUCCAACAUACAACCUUUUUUAAAUAUAAUUAAUAGGCCAAAUAUACGAGACAUUGAAUUAUAAAGCUUAUUCAUGGUUUUAGCAAACGCAUGAUACAAAUUAGCUAGUUAAAAUUUAUUAAGGUGUCAAAAUACAAUGUUUCAAUAAAUAUAAAUUAGGUAAAGCAAUGCUCGCUUCGUAAUGAUUUGAAAGUAGCAAAGGUUUAUAUCGGCGUAGCCACAAUAGGGCGAAACACAUAUUGUUGUAAGAGGUAGUUAUACAAUAAUGAUAUUACAAUUAAAAUAAAUAAACUAUAACCUCUAAAAAUUAUACAUGAAUUAUAAAUUUAUCAUGGAUAGGAUAUAUCCAU